AUGCUAAUCUGUGCUUUCAGCAUGCCUUCUGAACGAACUGAUGAAAAAAUAUUCUUUUCUUCAAAGAAAGCUGCUGCAGAGAUCCUCGCUGAAAUCUCCUUUGCCUGACUUAAGGAUAUCCAGUUUAACAAAAGUUGUAAGACAGUUGGAUUCUUUACGAACUGGAUUAGAGAAAUGCAAAAUACUAAUACCAAGCACUUUAACCAUAGGCUGCAUAUAA
rnacentral:lncRNA from 1 species